rnacentral:other from 1 species
AAUGUCCUGCUUAAUUCGUGUAUCGGCAACAAAUAACCCUACAACCUUUAAAUCGGGAGUUUUACUCCGUGUGCCGUGUGCAGACCUCCUCGUAAGAGACGAAGGGAGCCUGACGCACUCGGGUGGACACCCACCUGUCAUUAUGUAGGCAGGUUAUCUUAAUGCCGUUGCGGUUAAGCGGGAUUUUU